rnacentral:rRNA from 1 species
UACGUAGGGUGCGAGCGUUGUCCGGAAUUAUUGGGCGUAAAGAGCUCGUAGGCGGUCUGUCGCGUCUGCUGUGAAAUCCCGAGGCUCAACCUCGGGCCUGCAGUGGGUACGGGCAGACUAGAGUGCGGUAGGGGAGAUUGGAAUUCCUGGUGUAGCGGUGAAAUGCGCAGAUAUCAGGAAGAACACCAAUGGCGAAGGCAGCUCUCUGGGACGGUACUGACGCUGAGACGCGAAAGCGUGGGGAGCGAACAGG